UUCAGUUAUCCUUGCUUCAUUUUAGCUGAAAAGGACAUCUAUGCACAACAGUUGAUCAUAUGUAAUAUUUUCUACAGCUGAAUCAUAGCACUUAAACGGGAAUCUGGCACUCCACCUCAACUGUGAGAAGUCUAGCUGUUUCCAUACCAAUGUAACAGAAUCAUCCCACGGACUGGAAGGUAUUACCUCCGUGGAUGGCACAGAACUGAAAAGGAUUUUUCUUUUUUGAUUUUGACGUACAUCCUUAGAGUAUUCGUCCUUGGUGCCUAAACAAAGGAUUUAGGUGUAUAAAGUGAGAUUUGGCAGAUUUUUUUUGUACUCAAACGCUUAAAUUUCUGCUGAUGAUAGAUGGACCUAGAGCUCCUAGCAAACAUAAUGCCUAAAAAGUGAUGAAGUCACUACUAGCAAAGUGCUUAGAGGUCUAGCAUAAGAUGUACUAAGACAAGUUUCUCUAAAGACGUUUUCUCCUAACAUUAAAUGGGUGGAUUUGUUCAUCACCUUUGAUAUUAUCAGCAUAACAGGUCUGCAAGUUUUCUCAAGUUACCAUAGAUGAUGUGUGCUUUCCCCCCUCAUUUUCAAGUAGUACAUAAUCAGUGUUUCCAGAUUCGUAGCUCAUGCUCACGGGCAUGGUUCUGUUAGCACACCCUGCAAAUCUAAUUUCUAGAAAUGUUAUUCAGACACCUAACCUUCAUGAGUUAAUUGAUGAAGGAACCUGAGCCCACCUGCAGCCAUGAAGAUGCAUUAGUUUUGGUACAGAGCUCCUCUAAGGAGUGAGUGUUGCAACACCAAGGCUGCAGGAUGCUGGUGGAACAACACAGAUCAGUCCUCCCUUUUACACAAAUCAACUCCAGAUUUCUUCACAAGUCCUCAAGAGCAGUUUCUCUUCUGGUCAAACAGCUUCCAAUAUCAACAGUGCCUGCUUAGCAAAGCGACUGUGAAUUUAGGAGAGUUUUCCUCUCCAAGCACAACAUUUUUCUUACCCCAUUUUCUCCUAUUUCUCCAUGUAAAGGGGGCAGGGCAGAAGAACAGACUUCUGUUUGAUAAUUAUUUUCUUUACCUGUUAUUUUUUGUCAGCAGAAUCUGCAAGCUUUAUGAAUACAAAAUGAUUAUUUGAAAGGUGAAAGAAAAUGCAGGCAAAACAUGGAGGUUUAUGUGAAGAAAAAUGCAAAAGCAACUAACAUGGGGCCUGUACUAUUAUUUCAAGAAUAUAUAUUCCCUAUAUCAAAACAUAAUUUACCACCAUUCUAUUUCUGCCAUUUUUAUGCAAUUACCAUGGAUUACAAACCAAAUUACAUUUGUUGGUCAGGGAUAUUCUAUGGUAAUUUUUGAGAGUUCUUGUUUUAAGAACUAUUGAAUAUCAGGAAUUAGACCUAUGAAGGAAGCUUACGUAAACCUCAAGCAUCGUUCCUUCCUAAAGAUCAUUUAGUGUUUCUAAACCACAUGAACUGAAUUUGUUUGCAUAAACGUAUUUCCACCAAAUGUCAAUGCUCAUAAGUUGAGUACUAAUUACAUGAUCUAAUUUGAGAGCUUUUAACAAGUAUUUCUGAAUCAGUUAUCUUUUGCUAUCUGUAAUUUAUCUUCUUCGGCUUUUACAAAAUAUUAAAACCAUCCUCAAAACUGAAAACAGAAAAAAUAGCUUAACAUUUUGUGAUGUUUAUGUGAAGAAAAUAAAGAAGGUUGUUUGC